rnacentral:misc_RNA from 1 species
AACGCAUCUUGCACCCUUUGGUAUUCCGAGGGGUAUGCCUGUUUGAGUGUCAUUAAAUUCUCAACUUCAAGAAUUUUUUCUUCUUGAGGUUUGGAUGUGGGGCUUGCUGGCUUUUUCCAAGUCUAGCUUCUCUGAAAAACAUCAGUUGGAGACUAUUAGAUCUCUUCUCAUGGUGUGAUAGUUAUCUACGCCAAAUGUGAAUAUCUUUUUGGGUCUUCUACUUCUAAAUAGUCCAUUAGCUUGGACAAUUUUAUGACCAACUUGACCUCAAAUCAGGUAGGAUUACCCGCUGAACUUAA